rnacentral:snoRNA from 1 species
GGUCUGAUGCCACGUCACCGGUAGCGAAAUCGCUGUGACCGGCGAUGCUAUGAUUGGACCAAAAUCGAUUUCAUAUUUCGCAUGUUGAUAGGAAUCCGUGGACUGAAUUUUAUUCCAUUCAUCUAUGGAGCCGUUUUCUGCGAUUACAUUU